CCAAGACCUGAAAUCGAACGAUUUCUAGUUUCACAACCCUUUCACCUUUUAAGUCGUAAAGUUUCAUCGAAAUAUUUUCAAGAAGAGUUGGAGCAGCUCUAUAUUUUUUUAAAUACUUAUGAGAGAGCGUUUCGCCCGCGGCUAGGCGUUAUGGUAUGUACGAGAGCAAAAAAAAAAAGAAAAGAAAUGUGAGAACACAAAUUGGGUAUCUUUCUCCGGCGUGGUGCUUCCGUGGCCCGAGUUCUCGUUGAUGAAGUUCACGCUUUCUUAGGUAUCUUAAUACCCCGAUGCUAUGCAAUCGCCGCAAUCCCUCCACGCUUUGCGUUACUCGUACUAAUGACGCUCCGUAGGAAAUUUAGUCCAUCGUACCCUGAGCGGAUAGCGAGAGAUUUUAAUGCCGCGCGUAGGCAUACGUUACGUGAGCAUAAUUCAUCCUUAUUAAAUAUUCCUUCUCUAUCUCCGAAAGAUUAAGAAAUUUCGUUUUUGUGCUACUUUCGGUGCUUUCAACUCGGUUGAUAGGUGAUAACCUUGAAUGUUGUCUGAUGAUAUAUUUAUAUUUUGUCUUAGAAUCGUGUCGGAUUAGCCCGUAAAAAUUGUUGACCCAGCGAUAAAAAUAUUUGGAAACAGGUAUCGCCGUGAUAUAUGGACGUGCGAGUAUGCAAAUUAAUUGGUGUUCGCGAUCAGAUUCGUUUGGUUUGAAAAGAAAAAAAAAACUUCAAUUAUUAAUUCUAAUACCAACUGUUUAUGAUGCGUAUAGUUGCAUAAUAAUUGAAGCUGAAUCACUCUACACCUUUACUCCGAAUGAUAAUCGAUUCAAAUUUCGCUAAUUUCUCAGUUUAAUAAUUCAAUGAAGCAGCGUUGCGUGUAGGACUCUGCGAUAUACGUAUGCGCACAAUUUAUCUACCUUCAAAUAUUCCCAAAUUUCAUUACCAUUUUCUCGUCUUAAUUGGGCAACAAACGGUAUCGAGGGGAACGAAUCUUCCUUAAUUGGACUCAGGUGAAAAGGCACGAGAUGGAAAGUUGAACGAGAUAUUAUUAUAUAUUUCGAUUCGUGUACGCACACCCUCCGGUCGUAAUUCUACCUUCCGAUCUCAGGCGUAUAUAUGUAUACGUACACGUCCAUGUAAAAGAAAGCAAUUUCUGGCUCCGUUGCCUGUUAUUACUGCACGCUCAACAAAUGGACAGAGACGAACGGUGGACCAACGUCCGACAGAGAUGGGAGAUAAGCUAAUUAUCUCGCCGUCUCUAACGAUCGUUAGGACCUAAUUUUCAGCCAAGUUCAGGUUCAAGGACUCUGUAAUUACUAACUUAAGAAAAUACCACGGAUUAAUAGCUGCUUGAACUUUCUAUACCGUAGGAAAUGUAUAGUACAAACGAAAUAUACAUGAUGCCUUUUUUUUUUUCAUUUUUCUUACUGUAACGGGAGCCAGAAAUCUCGAUGGCAGUGAGUCCGUUUAAAAAAUUUGUUCGCCGAAUCUACGUUCCGAUUCGAUAUCUCUGUGUGCGGUUGUACGUUUAUAUAUACCGUUCCAUAUUCAUUUUAUAGCCGAGACAAGGAUAACGAACGACGUCUGCCCCCGAGAUCUUGCAGAUCAGAUUCCUCGCGUAGAAACGAAACUGGAUCUUUGAAAGGAUUUCGAACUUUUAUCUCAACUAUUUCGAACAUAAUAUCGAGUCCUCCGAUAUUACAGUUACGAUUGAAAUCUGCAGAGAAAUAUUGUACAGCGUUCAAAAAAACGACAAUAAUUAAAACUAGAUUAUUGAACCUUACGGAACUUGAGCGGCGAAAUAGUUCACUGGCGCGACCGGUUUAUUAUAGAUAAUCUCGUUCCAAUAUCGGAUAAUCAUAUCACUUGUACGUCGAAUUAUUAUUUCGUUGGGGGGGCGCGGGGGCUUUUGUUCGUAAGAGUAUAAUUGAAAUUACAUCACUGACGAAUGAUAAUAUUACUUACUACGAAGACCUUCAUAAUUGUAGCACGUUAAUCGAAGUAACAAAAUAGAUUUUUAUACAAUGAAGGAUAUAAAAAUCCUGCGUCGAACCACCUGCGGAUCGUUCACAAAUUCAGACUGGAUUCGUACACAAUCACUGACUCAGUAUGCGGCGGUAGCGCCUCUUCUUCACUUUUAUACCUUGGCAGACUCCCCCGAAGAGGAGGAACACCCCGUAAGGUUGCAUGUUCUGUCCGGUCGAUUAUAGCCACAGCGUCACAGUUUUAGGGAGGUGGGAGAAAUCUGGUAAAGUGGUAAACGUACGGUACGGUUACCGUGCAUGGUGCAAGGCCCCCGUACCGUUCGACCGGGGCACCAUCAGGCCCGGCCCAGUGAACCUCUUCCUUAACCCGGGCUGCCCCUCCGCCGUCCGCUUCGAUAUUCCAACUCGAUCGUGGCGCAAUUCGAGACGUGCUAAGUGCCCAGAAAGUCAACGACGAACAUUGAAUUUAGAAUUAUUGCGAAAUUCAAUAUAAUAUUAUAAACUACUUUUGAUCCUUCUUUGGAGGGAUGCAGAUUAUACACUCGCGCGCGUAGAAUAGAUUUAUCGGACAACCGCAGAUCCGAGCGUUUUAAAAACACCUUUCAUACGUCACUCAAUUUGCAACGCGUAAUUUAUCCGCGGUACAAAGAGAAGUAUUAUUGUUACACGGUUGAUACCUCGUAAAUGCGAUACAAUUGCAAAAAAAAGCGAAAAAAAAAAAGAAAAAACACCUUUUCGCAAGAUUCUUUUUUUGGCAGCGUAAUAAGGGAAGUCUGAGAAUCUUUGGUAAAAUUAAUUGACAUUGUUCAAAACUUGUAGAAAUCGUGGUACCGACUAUUUUCAGAAAAAUGUUAUCGGGAAGCUGGGUUACUUAGUGUGAUUUGUGACGAAAUUAAACGCGUUUACUAGCGUCAUCUCAUAAAUCGUCAUUGGAAGAUAUUCGCGACCACGAAUAUAUCGGAGUGUCGCCUCAGCGUCUUCGCAGAAGAUUUUCAAGACUUUUAUCGAGGAUAUACAGUCAUCAAGGUGAUGCUGCUAUGUAAUGAGGUCAGUUCAAUUAAAAUAUUGUACUUGAAAUAUACGUGGUAAAAUCACACCACAUUCGAUAUUUUUCAAAAAUUAAUUGUUACAAAUUAUAACAAUAAACGUCCCACAGAAUUUUUCAGUAAAGAAGUAAAUGCGAUUUCACAUUUAUAAGGUAUAACUAUUAUUGGACGGCAGGUGCGUUGUACGGAUCCGCCGUUUUGUCUUACGGACCAGAUCGCGUAACAGAUUUAUUAUACCUGGAUGACGAAUUUCUGGUUCUUUUUUGACCUCGUAUUAUUAUUGUUAUUUUAACCUAACCCAAUUACGCGUUGUUCACUCGCUUUGAAGUACACGAACCUGGUUUCAGUUUUUCUCGUUUUUUUUUUCCUUUCCUUUCUUUUAUUUUUUUUUUUUUAUUGCGAAUUUGGAAUUUUGGCUAUACCGGUAUGUCGGUCGAGAGAUGAGAAAACACUUGAAAAUAUUCCCUUAUAGUUUGGUCGACAGCGUAGCCCGCGAACACGCUAGAAGAAAAUAAUCGACGUGUUUAAAAAAAAAAAAAAAAACCAAAUGAUCGUUGUGUCCGGUCAGAGUAAUAAAAUUAUCUUUACUUAAUAACGUUAUAAAAUAGCUUCCCACACCAUUCAAUUGUUACUGAAAUAUGCGCAUAUUCAUUAACAAAAAUGAAAGCAUGGCGAAUUUCUUACGUUACAUUUAUACUUGAGCACACUAAAAAAUUAUUUUUCCUCUAGAUACGCGCUCGUGAAUUUUAAGAAAUAGUGCUUCGCCGCACGCAUCCUAUUGAAAAAAAUUACCAUAUGGAUAUGAAAAAUAAAUUCGUUUUAAUUAAUCGCGUGAAAAAAAUAGUUUAUACACUGAGGUACAUGAAAAAAAAAAAAAUUAAUAAAAUAAAGAUAUCCUACUCUACAAGUACAAUAUAAUAUAUCGUACGGUAAAAAUUUUCAAACUUUCUACGCAAAUUAAAUUCUCGCAGUGACUCUCUAAAUAUUUUUGAAUAAAUCUUUUUUCUUUCUUUAUAUUUUUUUCAGUGUGUAUACUGUGCAAUUUAUAUAUUGUUAAAGCGCAGAAUGAAAAAACGAUUUUUUUUUCGACGAAGACUGCGUUGCGCUUCAAUGGCGUCUUGAGGUGGAUGCUCUUAUGAAAAUGGAGUUUAAUUUUUAUCCGCAUGUGUUGGACAAAUAAAAAAUUCUUCACGGAUCGGAUAAAAAGUAAAAUCCUACAGAAUUCUUCUUUCACUUCUAUUACGAAUGUAAAGGACACGUGUUAAAAUUCAUCGAUCACAUUAGCGGUAUAUAUGAGAAGAGAAAAAAACCAGGAAAAAAAAAAACAAAAAAAUUACUCCUAAAUGUAACCGACUUCGUGAAUCUCGUUUUUGACAUUAUCAAGCUCAGGGUAUGAAAAUAAGCAUACUAAUUGUAAGUUGGACGUCUGGUUAUAUUUUUUCACGAAUAUAAUACAUCCUCGAUGCGACGCGCUGUUACAUCAUCGUAAAUUUACAAAUUUCCCCCAUUCAAUUUGCUCCUAUGUGUUAAAUGAUAGUGAGAGUCUCGUAAAUAAUAUUUAUAUACAUGCGCGCACUUGUUGUGCAUUCUAUUAUCGCUCUAGAAUGUCCGAACGUUGUUCGCAUUAUAAAUUAAGUAGCACGUAGCCAUUUCUCCUGUAAUUUAUCUAUGCGGAGACAAUCUAUUGUAAUUAAUUACUCGGGUAUCAUCGUGCACAGCGACACGUACGUGUACGCGUACAAUACUUGUACAUACAAAGAAAUUGGAUCAAUCGUUACAAUUAAUUCCAUUUUCGAAAGAAGAAAAAACUUUUCUUUCUACUUUUUUUAUUUGUAUUCAUUUAUUUUUUUUGUUUUCUCUGCAACUCGCCGGGUAUGCAAAUGUGUAUACAUAUAUAUAUUAUAAAAUAUAAUUUUUGCAAUCUCCUUCGGAGGAUCUGAGUGCACCGCAGCAAUUGGUCGACAUACGUAAGUACUGUGAAAUUACGGUUUGAAAUAUAAGAAGAAAUUGUCUCAAGGUCUCGAUUUCACGUAUAUUGUACAUAUGUAUAUACGUGUUUGUAUGCGCUCGUUGAUGGCGCGUGUCUCUCUCACGUUCGUUGGAAUGAUAUGGAGGAAAAUACACGGCUUAAAUCGAAAGUGAUCGAAGUCACGCGGGGCAUUCUUUUUGCAGAAUUGAGGUUACGCAAGUUAACUUCAUCAUGCCGAUGGUGCCCACCACGCUCGUAAAAACCGACGCUGCUUCGCCGUCACGGGUAGGUGAAAUUAUUUUUCAAACUUAAUAUCGAUCUUCGACCAAACCCUACCCCGCCCCGCACCGCAUGUUGCACCGUAUACCCACGCACGAUGCUCUCGAAUGUGAUGUAUAUUUUUUAUAUGUUGUGUAGGAAUAAUUAUCAUCGCCAUUCACUUUCUUACGAUUAAAGUUUAAUUUGAGGGAACGAUAAAAUUCAUCUAUGUGUGUUUACGCUGGCGUCUACGUGUAAUAUUAUUAAAUUCCCGUAGGUACGGUAUACAGGUAUGCAUGGAAAGAUCCGGUAAUCUGGCGCCUAAUAACAGAGAUUUUGAGAUCCAUGAAAACGUGUAGCGCGCCCCUUCCGUACUUGAACCCAUAAACUUGAUAUAUCGAUAAUUUUGAAGAUGAAACAAAAAAAAUAUCUUUUCAUUCAUACUUCUAUCGUACACGCUUAUACUUAUUUCCUGUUACUUACUUACGAAGGUACACAACGGAGAAGUUUGCGAAGUGGUCAGUUGCGUUUUGCAACGUUCGUAAUUGUAAUUAGCACGGCUAACUUUCUCCGAGUCGUAUAACAUAUAUGUAUUUACUGCAGCAAUGCUGAUGCUACUCCUUCGAAAUUGCUCUAAAUUUACCUCGCCAUUAAAUGGAACCAGAAGUAUAUACCUCCGUACAUAGCCGUAAAUUAUGCGAUAUACAUGUCUUUCUGCGUACGUAUAGAAAUGCUAUCCAUUUUUCAAAACUAACUUCGGAUUCGUUAUGAAUUUUUUCAAACAUCUGCAUACAUUAUUCGAUGGAUGUGUUUGUAUGAUAUCUUUAUCUGUAGCACACGUAUGAUGUGGGAACGCGUACGUAUAAUUUUGCCCGUAAAAGUUGAUCCGACCUUUAGCACAGUUUCACUUACUUUCGAUGAAUACCUCGAGAGUCUCGAUUCACGUAACAGUAUGCUAUAUGUAUAGCCUCCUUGGAUCCGUCCUCCCAUUUUUCAUCCGUUCAUCGUCAUUUUUAUAACAUACAUACCGAUGUGCUGCAGCACCAGCAAUCGGCCCGUGUUAUACGCCUACCAAGAUUGCUAGAUAACGAACGAAAAUAUCCUACAAACACUAAUUUUCUAUAAUUAAUU